rnacentral:rRNA from 1 species
GUGCCAGCCGCCGCGGUAAUACGUAGGUGGCAAGCGUUGUCCGGAAUUAUUGGGCGUAAAGCGCGCGCAGGCGGUCCUUUAAGUCUGAUGUGAAAGCCCUCGGCUCAACCGAGGAGGGUCAUUGGAAACUGGAGGACUUGAGUGCAGAAGAGGAAAGUGGAAUUCCAAGUGUAGCGGUGAAAUGCGUAGAGAUUUGGAGGAACACCAGUGGCGAAGGCGACUUUCUGGUCUGUAACUGACGCUGAGGCGCGAAAGCGUGGGGAGCAAACAGGAUUAGAUACCCUGGUAGUCC